UACGCUCCUUUCCCCACACAUGCUCUGCCCCAUUCCGAAGAGCUGAGUCUGACCAAAGGAGUGCUCUAAAUGUAGGUUUCCUGGGGCCCGGAGCCACUCAUAUUUCUCUGUGGUACCAAGUGCCUGCCAGCAUUCUCAUCGGCUUCAAGGUUAAUAUGUGCGUGUGAGUGAGUGGGUCUGGGGUAGGCAAUGGGGGAAGAGAGACAAAGGCAAAAGAACCCAUUUCUUCCUGAACCCAUCCUAACUCCAAAAGAGUACACAGAUUCCACUUGAUCCUCAUCCAAGUUCAACGAACUGCCUCUUUUGGAAAUAGAUGCUGCGGACACGUGAAGUUUAUUUACUAACUUUCUCCUGCUCCCCCAUGGAAGAGAUCCACAAACCCUGCUGGAAUACGUGGGCUGAGCAUCAACCACCAGCUCACUUGUGGAUUCCAGUCACAGACUUUUGGAACCGCAGGAAGCCCAGAUUUGCCAUUUCACCAUGACAAGUGGCAAUGACUCACUCCAGAUGAGAGGACCUACCGAAGCAAACAAAAAAGGCAGCCCUGCUGUGUCCGCUGUCAGGCUGGCCUUGGGCUUUUUACUUUCAGCCUGUCUCCUUCUACAAAGCACAAGAGUAGCCCGUGCUCCAUGGAGUCUCUCCUCAACACAGAUGCAAGUCUCUGGAAGUCAGCUGUUCUCAGCAGGUCUCAUCACAACUCCCCAAGGUAGGGGCUAACGCAGCAGCCGAACGCCGCCGCCCUCCAGCCACCCUCCAGACACUGGCCCAGCAUUCAGCUUGUUUGUUUUACAAAUCACUCAGGCCUUUCCCACAAACCAUUGUACCUUAUCUUUCCUUCACUAGGAAGGAAACUGAGGCUCGAAGAACAAGUGCCUGCCCCAAACUCAAAACCAUUGUCCAGCAAUGUUCUAUGCAAACAACACCAAGGAGAAUCAGGCCAGCAAGGGGAACCGAGUCACAACUAGAUCCAGCUGAAGGGUGGCACUAGGCAGCCUCACUCGCCUGCUCACACGCAAGGACACAAACCCCAGCCCCGCCACCUGGCAAGCCUGCGCAGACACGCUCACCGCACCUAGCUGUACCUGUCUUCCUGGGACCGCCCACCCCCUGGCGAUCGGGUGGCACCGCUGCCCAUCCACUUCGAAGCCCGGGAAGGUGCGGCCAGGGCCGGGUGGUAGGACUGUAACGACCCUUAAUUUGGUUACAUUCAAAUAAAUAUUUUCGUGCACGUCGGUAGCUAGCAUUGUGCGCGUCUUUUUUCUUUCUUUCUUUUUUUUUUUUUUUCCUGUUACUCUGUCAAAGCAGGGGGCCACGAGGGGAA